rnacentral:lncRNA from 1 species
UUUACCAUUAAACUCGCACACUUAGUGCUUUACAAUUAAACUCGCACACUUAGUGCUUUACAAUUAAACUCGCACACUUAGUGCUUCACAAUUAAAUUCGCACACUUAGUGUCGAAAGUCAACAACUCAAUACAUCUUAUUUCAAUAAUUUUAUCACUACAUGUAUAUAUAUAUACCAUUCAAUUCAGCAUAAUUACUCAGAUACUAAGCUGAUUUUAAAACGAUACAAUUAUAUAUGUGCUUAAUAACUUACCUCGGAUGUCGUCGCCUAAUAGAUCGGCUACUCAACUACUUUCGAUUUCCCCCGAUCUAAAUCUGAUUUCUUGGUUUCUUGAUAUAAACAUAUUCAAAUAAAUCUCAUUUAAACAUAUUUUCAUUCAAUUUAGUCUAAGAACACAUAAAUGGGUAAAUAACAUUUUUACCCCUAAUAUUUCCUAUUUUCACAAUUUAGUUCUUACUGCACAAAACACAAAAUACACAAAAUUUGGCCACACUCCCUAAGGGCCGAAUCUUCCUAGUACCCAUAUAAGUCCAUACAUUUCAUUUAUUUCACAUUUUAGUCCUUCAAAAAUUUAUUUUUUGUAAUUUAGCCCUAAUUACUCAAAAUCACCAAAAAAAUCCAAUACAAAACAAAUUAAUCUUUAACAUAUCUUUCAUUUUUUAUCAACAACUAUCAAAAAGCUCAAGCACUCAUCAAUGGUAAAACACAAAAUCAUCAUCAAUUCACAAAAUUAAUACAUGGGUUUUGAAGUAUUCAAAGCAACGAUCACAAAAACGUAAAAGUUAUCAAAAAAUAAAAUCAAACUAACCUUGAAUUGAAAUCUCUAAGAUGCCGAAUGCUAAAGCUUGAAGAACAAAGUUUCUUUCUCUUGUUUUCGGUGGAAAC